UUCAUGUUAAGAGUCAAGAACGUUCUUCAGGAGACACUCUAGAGAUGAUCUCUUCUCCAGGAUUAGUGGCUGUGAUACUCUUCCUGCUGGGACAAACCCGUGGAGACUCAGUGAGCCAGAUGGACGGCCAAGUGACCCUUUUGCAAGGGGCUACCUUGACUGUGAACUGUACUUAUUCAGCCACCGGGUACCCCACUCUUUUCUGGUAUGUCCAGUAUCCUGGAAAAGGUCCAGAACUCCUCCUGAAAGCCACGAAGGUCAACGACAAGAGAACCAACAAAGGUUUUGAAGCCACAUACAAUGCAAAAACCACCUCCUUCCACUUGGAGAAAGCCUCGGUCCAGGAGUCAGACUCGGCUGUGUACUACUGCGCUCUGGGUGACACAGUGAUGGAAACUGCAGGGGGAGCUGAGUGCAAACUCUGAGCAGCGACGGGGCC